rnacentral:misc_RNA from 1 species
UGGAGUAUGAGGAAUUUCCAACAGGUUCCCAGAAGCCAAGUCUAAAAAAUUCAUAUAGGAUCUAGACACCAUCACUCAUUAAGAUAGCACGCUUCCCACCACAAAUAGCUUGCCCACAGACCUUACGAUUAAUAAACCGAUGACCGGAGGCGCAUAGAAUUAGGUGAAAAACCGGCGAGUUUAGAUUAGCUAUUAGGUAUAAAAAAAGAGGACGAAACUUAAGAAGCUUGAUAAAGACAUAGGAAAUGGAAGCUGUGUUUGAUUUCCAAUAGAGAUGAAGAGAGAGAGAGGAAAAAUG